AUAUAUAUAUAUAUAUAUAUAUAUAUAUAUAUAUAUAUAUAGGAAAGCCAAUUACAUGCAAUGACACUUUAAGGCCACCAGGGACGGCUGGUCCUCCUGGCCCCCCUUAAAAUUCGCUUAUGUAGGCACCUGGUCGUCACCAAUUGUAGUAAAAAAAAAAAAAAAAAGUUGUCCAAGAGUUUAAGAGGACCUGCAUGCUAACGGGAACACGAACGCUAUGCUAAUGCUAUGAGUUACAUUUAGUGUGUGAUGAUCACUCACCUUUAAAGGAUAAGCAACAUUAAAUAUUCUCUCUGGCCAAGAAAACAAAUCUUCCCGUGUGCGCAAGCCUGCAUGGAGACUGGAAACGACACACUGGUGAGUCAGGAAUCGGGUGUAGGCACAGCACGUCGAGAGUUACACAACCAGACACUGCUACAAUGCAAGCUAACUACAUAUAAAAUGUCACACAUUAUGAACAUGUGACGGAAACUAUUGCCUAUUUUCAUCUCGUUCUCGUCUGACGAAAACUGACAUUCGUCUCGUUAUGUUUUCGUCUCCCAAAACACGUUUUUAGCUUGUUAUCAUUUUUUUCGUAAAACUGUCACUUAAUGGUAUCGAAGCAAAUUCCAAUAGUUUGGGGUAGGUUUUCGCUUUCCAUUCUGUUAUUUUUCAAGUUUUACAUGUGAUGGCACAAAUGGGGAAGUUGGUCAGUUUUUGCAUUGAAUAUGAGUGCUUACUUGAGGGAAUUACCACCUCACAUUCAAAACACUUCAGAACAUUCUAAUCCUAUUUCAAAAUAGUUUUUAAAAACCUUUUCAAAACCCCCAAAAUUUCCUCAUACAACUCCAUCGCUAACUUAUUUAGUCUACACUCUGCAGUGCAUGACUGACCUCUGAAAAAAACAACAGAUCAUGACAAUUUAUAUUUUGUUGUUGUUUCUCUUAGUCAUAUUUCACAAUGGUCUUAUGUCACACUUUUUCCUUACGCUGCUGUUUGCCAUUUUGCUUGCACACCACAUGGUGGAAACUCUAGCCAGGUCAGGAUUUAGUGUUCCAAGCUGAACUAAACCGUGCCACUUGGUGGCCGCAUAUUCAAUUCCCUCGCUACUGUCAGACCUCUGCAACCUGAAGUCCAUAUGUUCAUUCCCAGCAGAGCUACGUGCUCUGCUGGCAACCUUAAAUGCCUCGUAUAUGGAGUUGGCAAAGGGCCUCGUGCGCAGAUCAGCCGGUGUUAGCGGGUCACAGCAUCACUCCGCUCCUUCGCGCUCUCUAAAUACCCCACUUGCCUCGCUCCCUCCGCCCCCUCCUGUCCGUCCCCAUGAGGUUCUGGAUGUCUUCCAGCCACAUUAGAGGAAGGGAAAUCCCAGACUGUUGGUAUAAGCUUUUCAAUACUACAGGGAGAUUAUGUUAUCAGAAAGGUAAACUUGAGCGCUAGGUGGGGGUACUACUGCGCCCCAAUGCAAUGAUGAUGACGAAGCGGCGAUAUCGCUGGACAACUUUGUCUUUUUAAACCACGUUCGGCCUUUUUGACGUCCUGUUGAUUUUGUGUAGUCAUUUUUAGUUUUAAAGUGUACUUUUACCACUGCAGUUUGGUAAUAGACUCAAAAAAACUAAACAAAAAAAAAAGGUUAAACAGUAGGAGUGUGACAAAAUAUCGAAAUGGUGAUAUAUCGUGAUACUUUAAUUGAGAUAUCGUUUUAAAAAAGUGUCAAUGUUUAAAAAAAAAAAAAAGUUGCAAACAAAAUCCUCCAUCAUGAUAGUGUCUCAGUUAACUCUAUGACUGCCAUUGACGGUCUUUGACACCCAAUCCAUUUAGACUGGGAGGGGCGAAUGAACAUUCGUUCAUUCAAAACCAGAGCAUUUACAGUCACUCUUUCUGAUUUUUGGGGCAUUUACAGGUCCCUUCCUGUUGAGUUUGAGUCAUUGCCUAUUUAUUUGGGAGAUUCCCAGGUCACUUCCUGCUCUGUAACCCAAAAUAAACAAGAAAUGACCCAUAAACUGCCCCCCAAUAAGCAGAAAGUGAUGAAAAGAAAAAAUUAAUGACCUGAAAUGCCCCAAAAUUACCUCGUACCAGCCAUUGGGUGCCACUGACGGCCAUAGACGUUCAAUCCAUUUGAAGUGGGAGGGAUGGCAGUGAAUGAACGAAUGUUCAUUCGCUGCCACCCUCCCAGUUCAAAUGGAUUGGACGUCUACUAGUGAUAAACUCAUUCCAAUUCACAGCAGAAGCUUCUUUUUCAUGUUUAUUAGUUGUUUUGUAGAAUAUCCUAGUAUAGUAAUAUCCUAAUUUUUAAUCAAGUUAAUCACAGCUUAAAAAUUAAUUAAUUGUAAUUUAUCGCAAUUCAAACCAUCUCUAAAAUAUGCCAUAUUUUUCUGUAAAUUAUUGUUGGAAUGGAAAGAUAAGACACAAGACGGACAUAAACAUUCAACAUACUGUACAUCAGUACUGUAUUUGUUUUAUUGUAACAAUAAAUCCACAAAAUGGCACUAACAUUAUUAACAUUCUUUCUGUUAAAGGGAUCCACAGAUAGAAAGACUUGUAGUUCUUAAAAGAUAAAUUUGAGUACGAGUUAUAAUAAUUUUAUAUUAAAACCCUAACCCUUUUUUGAGGGAUAGGAAUAUUAUUUUUGUUGUGCUUUCACUAAAUGAUACCACAGCGACUUAACUGUUCCGCCCAAUUGCAUGAUGGGAAGUUGGGCAACCAUGACUGUCAGUGGCAGCUGCAAAUGGUAUACAGUAUGUUCUGCGUUGUGUUCAAUUAAGCGUGUUAAGAAAAAGAACUUCUCCUGGUCUGCCCAAAUGAAUAAUGGGAAUUUGGGCAACCAUGACUGUCAGUGGUAGCUGCAAAUGGUACAUAGUAUGUUCUGCAUUGUGUUCAGUUAAGCGUGUUAAGAAAAAGAUCGUCUCUUGCUCUGCCCAAAUGCAUGAUGGGAAGUUGAGAAACCAUGACUGUCAGUGGUGGCUGAAAAUGCUGCACAGUAUGUUCUGCAUUGUGUUCAAUUAAGCGUGUUAAGAAAAAAAAUUGUCUCCUGCUUCGUUCAUAUGCAUGCUGGGAAGUUGGGCAACCAUGACUGUCAGUAGUGGCUGCAAAUGGUAUACAAUAUGUUCUGCGUUGUGUUCAAUUAAGCGUGUUAAGAAAAAGAUCGUCAAUGAACGGCUGUGUCCACUCGCAUUUCUCUGCCUUUUCGCUCCCAACGUGGUAAAACCGCAUCAUUGUAAACUGUUUGAGGCAAUGCAUGAACGGGUCAUUCCGUGCAUGCGUUAAUUGCGUCACAUAUUUCAACGUGAUUCAUUUUAAAAAUUAAUUACCGCCCGUUAACGCGAUAAAUUUGACAGCCCUACCUAGAAUGAUUUCUUGACCAAUGUAUCGAUAAUUUUUGUAUUGCCAUAUUGUGAGAUCGUUAUCGUGAGCUUUGAAUCGCAAAUCGUAUCGUGAGGUACCAAGAGGUUCCCAACCCUAAUAAACAGGGUCAAGUACAUUUCGAGAGUGAUUCCCCGAUCCACAUGUUCAACCUCAGCGUCCGUUUGGGAAACCCUGUGCUUGAAGACAUAUUGCGAUGACUUAAUAAAGGCCGUGCUGUUGCUCUAAAAUGAACAAUUAGCCCCUGGCUUUCCUUCCACUUCACCCUCUGCGAGAUCCCGCUGGCCCUCCCUAACCCUGUAAAGGCGAAGGUUGGCCUCACAAUGAAAACAGGAAGCGGUCUGAUUCAGAGAUACUACUUCGGCCUUGUCUUUAGACUUUGCGUUAAGCCCACUAAACACCUAUGAAAAUAAAUAGCGUGCGCUCAGAGUGGUCAGCGAGGAGAAUAGGUAGCCUCUCUGUGGCAUCAACCGUCUCAAGUUUAGUUGCCGGGUCACCCCUUUGGCCCGGGUGUUUGGGGGAAAUGCUGUUAAGCUGCUAAGCCAGGUGUAUUGGUCCCUUGGGCUCCCUGAAAGGGAAGCGAUACAUCCCUUGGUCUUUUUUUAAAGUGCUUGGACUGUGGACUAGAAACGGUGUCAAUAGGGGAUUGUAUUCGUACUGUUAAAGUCGAGCCUGGAACACAAAACAAGCCUUGAUUGCAUUUUUUUACCGUCUUGGCUUGGUGUUUAUAUGGACUUUGUUAUUUUAUGGGGUUUUAGUUUGGUUUGAUGUAUGUUUUACGGAGUUUAUUGUAUGUCUAUGAUGACGAUGGAGUUAAUGCCAUUGUAAAUCAGGGAUGAGCUGUCAACAUGUUCUGUUUAUUCUUGGAAGUGUAAAUAACAAACAAAUAUCAACCAAAAAAUAUACAUAUAUGAAUAUUAAAAAAAAACAUUAGAGAUAACAAAAACAUUAAAAAAUGAAAAUGUGUUCAAAGCAAGAUUAUCAUAGAUAUGAAAAGGAAAAAAUAAAAAAAUAAAAAAUCAUGAAUGAAAUUAAAAAAAAAAAAAAAAGUUUAAAGCAUCUUUACAAAAAAAUAAUAAUAAAAAGACGCUGUAAAAACUAUUCAAAGGGGACCACGGACAGAAAGACUUGUAUUUCUUAAAAGAUAAAUGUUCGUAUGAGUUAUAACAAUUUGAUAUUCUCUCGAUGUUUUUUUGUUUCUAUCAAAUAUAAAAAAUUUGCUUAACUAGUAGGUCGUCAUUGUUGUUGACAAUGCAAUACACUUUGGGCAGUGACGUUACAUGGCAGCGUUGCUGUACUUUCACAGUGUCACUCAUUAGCUACAUAAACAUGCCGUUGGUUCUGCCCUUCCAAUUUGAAUCCAAGCGGAAAAGUGAUGAGCAGGACAGCGCUGUCGAUAUUUCACAAAAUGAGGAGCAAAAGCAACUAAAUGAAAGUCUCCAGCGAGAUUUGAACCUACAUUUCCCAUGUGACAGACGAGCUUGUUGACUAUAUACAGUACUAUACUUCCGCAUGGAGUCAUGAUUUUCCAUAUAAAGUAAUUGUAACCCACAUGCACUGUCUGUCUGUGCGGCAAAACCUGAACGGGAAACACAACUGAAAAUAAAGUGGGCUGGCUUGACCACGGAAUUAAAAAACGAGGCACACUUCAGACAGCAUGCAGAUAACAAUAACAUAUGGAUUGCGUAAAAGGGUUAAUUGAACACACAAAAAACACGCUAUCGCGAAAAGAGAGACACAAAAAGGGUUCGUGACAAUAGGUCGGGAUCAAUUAAAAAAAAAAAACGAGGGAAAACCACGGUGAGAGGCAGACAAACGAAAAAAACAAGGCAAUGAUGCAACUAACAACGAAGGGAUACACAAAUCAUCAAAUGGCAACAAGUCAAUACUAGCCGCCUAGGAUCGGUUUAAAGACACUGCUGAUUAGCUGGAAUUGGAUGCAGGUACAACGUUUGGAAAUCAUCCCACAGCUCUGUAACAAAACAAUCUGACCAGCAGCAGAAUGUGAGACAAAAUCAUGCCAGUCGUCAUACUAGCUUUGCUUGCUAGCUAGCAAAGCUAUUCUACCCAGUCCAGGCCAACCACGUCAGCGUGCAUUGCGCGUGUAAAACAUGGUGCCCUCCAUAGCUCAAAACAUGUACUAAAUAUUAUAGAUUUUUAAAUCAAUGGCAACAAUAUACGUGUUUCUAACAACAUAUUUUAAUAAAAGAGAAUUGUGGCUUGGUAGAGCCUACAAGUCUUUAACUCCGAGGAUCCCUUUAAAACCAACAGAAGUUAAAAAAAACAAGUUUUAAAUGGAAAAAUCCCAAACAAUAAUAACCUUGAUUUAAGGGUUGAACCCUUGACUUCUUAAAGCCUUUAUCAACUGUAUAGAACGUGUUAAAGUAUAGAAAUCAGUCAGUAAUAAGGGGUAAAGCGAGAGUAACUUCACAUUCAUAAUUCAACUUUAAAAACAAUUUAACUUGAUACAAAAAAACAUUUUUGCUAAAGUAGUAUGUGUGACUUUUAGCCCUCUGGUGCAUAGUGGUCAAUACAAUGGACAGCUACUGAAAAAAACAACAUUUUUCUCAUGUCUUAAGAAGAAUACAUACCCUUCAGAAAAAGUCUUGACCAAGGAUUUCAUAAUUCAUGCAUCAAUGGGUUGAAGACCCCCUGAAAAUAACGAUGAAAAUCUAAAUUGUGUUUUACAUCUUGGGAAUAAAAGUAUACAGUACUGUUCUUGUGUCCCCUGUCAGAGCUGUGUGAUUAACCCUAGUGAGGACACAUCCACUCUGCGAGAAGAUGAGUGCAUUGUGCUGCAAACAUCAUUAGAUACACCAGUGACAAUGCUUCUGCCCACUCCUCCUCCUCCCCUUCCCGAUCCCUAGCCCAACAUAGAAUUAGUCUCCAUGACAACAGGGUGUCAUCGCCAGGUCGAGCCCUCCUAUGGGAGCUGCUCUCUCAACCGCCCUUUUAUAGAUGCACAUAAAAGAAGCAGCCCGGGUCAUUCACAAGACAUGGGCGCAGGCCAGGCCAAGCCAGGCCAGGCCAGGCCAGGCCAGGCCCUGGCAACGGAUGUUUGUCCCAUAUGAUAAACAAGUGUACAAGUCCACGCUCUGAAAGGGGGAAAGGCCCACGUUGUUUGCAGAGGCCCCGUUUGUAUCGCCACUUUUGUUUAAGCUCCUGUCGUCCUUCUAAUCCAUUGGUGGCCGACUCAAUGAGCAGAAAGAAACAAAAAGCGCUCAUCAUUCAACAAAUGGAAGCCUACAGUUCCAUUAUGACAGUAUACACAGUAAUGUAGAUGUAGUUCAUCUUCCCAAUGGUGCUGUAUAAAAUAUGGAUGAGGUAUGUCCUAAUGUUCAUUAUAUAUCCCCAUAUCCACAGUUUCUCAAUAUCGACAUGGUAUCGUCUCAUGUGCCAUUGUUUGAAAUGUAUUUUCGGGUCAGCUAUGUAAGUAUGUAGCCAUGUUCAAAGCAGGGCUGCAGCAGGAAUAGAGUUUUGAAGGUACAUGUGUUAAUAACAUGAAGGUAAACAUUAGAUGGAUGGGGAUAGAAGUGCAUGCUAAUGUAUCAUUUGAAGACGUCUUUCACAAAACGCCGUGGGUAAACACGAAUACAAGUAGUUCCCGGGUUAUGACGUACUCGACUUACGCAAUAUUGACUUUCGACUAUCGAAUCUUGUCCGCCAUUAUGUUUCCAGUCUUUUUUUUUCUUAGUCCUAUAAGCAGUACCUCAAUGUACCUUACAGUAUCUUAUUUUUUACUUUAAUUUCUUAAUAUGACGUGUUCUGUCCUCACUAAAUGUGAAGUUGUUCAGCAGACAGCAAACAAGGCAAUUGUGCUUUUUGAAGCUUUUUAAAUUUUUAGAUGAAAUUUGCCUAAUUUGCCAAGCAAAUGUCAGCUAGCUUAAAUGCUACGAAUGCUAACGUAUUUAUAAUUCUCAUAGCAAAUCGCACACACGUAACUCCACAAACUGACACAAGUCAAUUUGUGAAGCUGUUACUCACAUACAGUAUGUACACCUAAGUUCAAAAUGGCACAGAUUUCAAAUGUCCUUUUAGCCUGAUCGAUGAGUAAAUUUAGUAGGUUAAAAUAGCCUAAAAAGCUGUAACACAUAUAUGUACACUUAUGUUCAAAACGACACAUAUUUUAACAAUAAAACCCCUGACACAAAACAAUUGGUGUUCAAACGUCAUCUGGUCUGAUUAAUGUGUAAAUUUAGUAGGUGAAAUUAGCCCAAUUUGCCUAACAAAAGUCCGCUAGCUCAAAUGGUAUGAAUGCUAACGUAUUUACAAUUCUCAUUGCAAAUCGCACACAUGUAACUCCACAAACUGUAGCUGUAAACAUAAUUACAAAUGGAUAUGCAAACAUAUUAUUAGCUGAAACAACUUACAGCCGUUUGUGGGCCAAACCAGAUUGCAGCAGUCCUCUACCAUGUCGAGAGUCUGCUUCUCAGUCAUAAGGCAACAGUCCAGCCAGACCCAACGCUACAUCAGACAAUUUGCAAAGCUGUAACACACAUAUGUACACUUAUGUUCAAAACGAUACAUAUUUUAACAAUAAAACACCUGACACAAAACAAUCGGUGUUCAAACAUCCAUCUAGUCUGAUCAAUGAGUAAAUUUAGAAGGUUAAAUUAGCAAAUAUCCCUAACAAAAGGCUGCAAGCUUAAAUGCUACGAAUGCUAACAUAGUUACAAAUCCCACUGCCAACUGCACACAGGUAACUCCACAAACUAUAGCUGUAAACUUAAUAACAAAUGCAUGCACAAACAUAUAUUAGCUGAAACAACUUACAGAAUUAUGUGGGCUAAACCAGAGCACAGCUAUCCUUGUCUGAGUCUGCUUCUCAGUCAUACAAGACGACAGUCCAGCCAGACCCAACGCUACCAUCAGACAAUUUGCAAAGCUGUAACACACAUAUGUACACUUAUGUUCAAAACGACACAUAUUUUAACAAUAAAACACCUGACACAAAACAAUCGGUGUUCAAACAUCCAUCUAGUCUGAUCAAUGAGUAAAUUCCAUCUAGUCUGAUCAAUGAGUAAAUUUAGGAGGUUAAAUUAGCCUAAUAUCCCUAAAAAAAAGGCCGCUAGCUUAAAUACUAUGAAUGCUAACAUAUUUACAAAUCUUAUAGCAAAUUGCACACAGGUAACUCCACAAACUGUUGCUCUAAACUUAAUUACAAAUACAUGUGAAAACAUAUAUUAGCUGAAAAAACUUACAGCCUUUUGUGGGCCAAACCACAGCACAGCAGUCCUUUAUCCAUGUUUGACGAGAGCCUGAUCUUCAGUCACAAGGUGACAGUCCAGCCAGACCCAACGCUACCACCAGACAAUUUGUAAAGUUGUAACACACAUAUGUACAUGUUCAAAAAAACACACAUUUUACCAAUAAAACCCUUGACACAAAACAAUUGGUGUUCAAACAUCCAUCUAGUCUGAUCAAUGAGUAAAUUUACUAGAUUAAUUUAGCCUAAUUUGCCUAACAAAAGUCUGUUAGCUUAAAUGCUACAAAUGCUCAUAUAUUCCCUAAUCUCAUAGCAAAUCGCACAGGGGUAACUUCACAAACUGUAGCUGUUAACUUAAUUACAAAUGCAUACACAAACAUAUAUUAGCUGAAACAACUUAAAUAGUUAUGUGGGCAUCGAUGUCUGAGUCUGCUUUUCAGUCAUACAAGACGACAGUCCAGCCAGACCCAAUGCUGCCACCAGAGGGCAGUGUUUCCUCCAUCAUUAAACAAAAUACAAUACUUUUGGACUUUUUGGAUAGUUAUUUUGUAGGGCUACUUAAAGGGUUAAUUCAGACUUACACGGAAAUUCAGGUUACGUGGCCAGUGUAGGAACGGAACUCGUUCGUAACCCACGGACUACCUGAAAUACACACCACAACUCAACCAUCAAGUAAACAAAGUGCUUAUCUUGAUUGCAUUAAUUGUAUUUGAUUAUAUGCAUUUUUUAACAUUCAAAUGUUUGUUUGAUGCUUAAUAUUUUUUUUAUCAUUUAAAUGUUUACUGUUUGUUAACUGUGUCUGUGUAACCCUUUGAGAUAGGGCUAUCGGAAUAUAUUUGACUUGACUUUGCUUCUCCUGGGUGCCCCUCUCCACCCCACCUCAACCACCAACCUUCCUGCAAUACCGUGAGAAAAAUUCCAUGUUAAUACUGAACCAUGAGAUUCAGAUAAUAGCAUAUUGCUAAUAUAUGGUUGAAUUUAAACUAAAAUGAGUGUCAAACUCGCAGCCAAUAAGUUAUAUGAGGCCCCCUGAGCUUGUGUCUGCCACCCUUGUUCUACAGUAAUCCUUGUGUGGAACACUAGCAAUGUAGAACUGGUGGAGACACAUCUGCAAACACUUUGAACACCUCUUCCUCCGCCUAAAAAAAAAUCACUGCAUUGGCUGCAUUGCCUCAUGCUAUGGUCUCGAGAAGUGGAGUAUUUGACUUUUUCAAGCCAGGACAAAGGAGAAGGAGGGAGAAGGUUUUAGAGGCUUGAAGAUGGAGCAAAAGCAGGGGAGGGAGAUCCUAAAGGUCAUAGAGGUGGAAGCCUGGAGGAGGCCCACACACUAAUCUGUCAUGUGCUUGUUUGCCUCGCAGCCAAAAAGUCACCUCUCCAGUCACCCAUGGCAACCUGGGCAGCCGUUUUGGUUCCAAGGCCUCGAAUUGUGCGACUAUUAGUGGCCAAAGAAAGAAAAAGAAAGUCAUCACAUUACUUUAGUGACAAUACCGACAAUGCUUUGUGUGAUUUUGUUUGCCAAACAGACAUUAGGCACAAUUAGACAAGCGAGUUUCCAUUGGGGGGGCUUUGAUAAAGACGGUGUGGAGGAGGUGCCUUCGCUAUUGUCUGCUAGCUGCUCAACGGCCACCAUCUGCUCUUCCCAACCAAUGUUGAGAUCGUACUCGAUUACCCUUAAAUGUCUUCACAAGAGGCCUUCAUUUAUACAUGCGGGAGCACCGCAAAGACAGAAUAAAAGUUUAGAGGGGGAUCCGGUGACGUCGCAUUUUCACAGGCUGUAUAAUUAUAUUACAGGCCACAUCAACUCUGGCAUCACACUGCUAGCACUUGUAAUAAGCCUGAGUGUGUUUCAAUCUCCGCCGUCGGACCUUUAUACUUUGCCCCCUAAUCCAGAUCUGUAGUUCCACUUCAAAGCCACCUAAGAUCACGUGCAAUCCCCUGACAUAUAAAGUAUGACGCUUGCGUGCGCCUUUGUGAAGAAGCACGUACCACACGUUCUUUUUUUUUUUUUUUUUUUCAUCAAGAUGAGCCCCAUAUGUUUUGUGUAUGUGGAAAUGCAAGGAAAGCUGCCGUAAUUCCUCUCCCUGCUGCCCCCAACCCCCCCACACAAAUACCAUCCCAAAUCUCCCCAUUUACUCCCAUUUUCCCUUUCCUUCCUCUCUCUCGCUUUAGGUUAAUUUUCCCUCCUGCUGUUUGCAACUUAAUGAAGAAGCAGAAAUGAGUGUUUUCACAAAGGGGUUUUGUUUACGACCAAUUUGCACAGGCGGAAACCCCUUGUACCAUCUACUAAUACAGCAAAAUGCAGGGUGGGGGGUGUAUUAUGAGUUAGAUAUUGAGUCUCUUUACUCAGAACUCCAAUGCUUUGAGGAUGCUCCACUGAAAACAAAGCCACAUUUCCACUGAGUGGUCAAGUUUGGUUCACCACAGUAUGCUUUGUAAGGAGAAACACGAAUCUUUGGUUUUGCUUUCACGCAAGCUGGCAAUAGCGACAUCUGCAUGACACGUUUAGUCCACCUUAUCAUUGAAACCAACAAAGAUGCAAAAUACAGUGUCCUCAAUUUGCAACAGUGCUCAUAAACCACAUUUUCAGAUUAGGAACGGCAUUUGGCGUAAGCGUAGGUGGUCAGGCGGUACAAGAAGGCAUGCUCAGUCAAUGCUAUACUUACUGGUUUUCAUUCAGUUGUUCUAUAAUCUGCUAGUAGUGCGGAGACCGUUCCGUAGCUAAAACAUAUCAAUGUGUGAAAUAGAUGGAGUAGCAAUUGGACUGUGUAAAUUAUAUGUAAUUGUCAGCCAGCAAAUAUACCGUAUUUUUCGGACAUAAGUCGCACCUGAGUGUAAGUCGCACCAGCCCAAAAAUGCGCAAUGAAGAGAAAAAAAAAAACAACAUAAGGUGCACCAAAGUAUAAGUCGCAUUUUUGGGGUAAAUUUACUUGAUAAAAUCCACCACAUAGAACAGAUAUGUCAUUUUGAAAGGCAAUUCAAAAUAAAAAUACAAUAGAGAACAACAUGCUGAAUAAGUGUACAGUAUGAUAAUGUUGCAUGAUGCAUGAACAACGAAAUGCAAACAUGGCGGGUAUGUUAACGUAACAUAGCUAUUAACUCAUUCACUCCCAGCCAUUUUCACCGGCGCUCCCGGCCAUUUUACUGGAUUUUGACUGAUUUUGCAAGGCCCACAGAAAAUUCUUUUCUAUUGCAAUAUAAACAUGGAAGCCACCAAAAGACUAGACUCUUUUCUUUCAGCAGAAAAAAAAGUUAGUUCAUAUCUUUUUUCCAUUCUUUAGAAAACAGCAUUAGAAAAUAGCUUAGUUUGAGCAAUUUUCCAAUUUCGGAUGAAAAAAGGGAGAAAUUGAGCUUUUUGUGAAAGCAUACAUUUCAAACAUAACUUUGACUUAUACACAGCUAUUUUUGCUUCAAUUACAUCCCAAACAUCUGAAUAAUGUUUUCCAAUUACAAAAUAAGAUCAACAACAAGACAAAUAGAGCUUCUGAUAGCAAAGUAACAACUUAUUUACACAUAACUAACUGAAAGAUGACGCUGUUCUGGCCGUGACACCCGGUUAAACUUUUCCCUCAUCGCCGUCUGUCUCAUAAAGAUGAAUUUUUUUGAGUCUCUGCGGACUCUGCUCGCGAGCAGCACGUACUCAAAGGCAUCGUCCGCUGUACUAGUGGUCCCGGUCGUUCUGCUCAGUCGUCCAGAGCCUGGCAUCCCGGGCGUCCUACCGGUUGUUCAGCUCGGUCGUCCGCCGCCUGGCAUCCAUUCGGUUGUCUUCCGCCAGCACUCGGCCAUGCGGCUUGGCCUUUCGUUGCAUUUGAAUCGGGUCUUACCAAAUGCACUACUUAAUAAUUUCAAACAUAAGUUGCUGCUGGUACUUUUACAAAUGGCAAUUACACAUAGUAAAACAAAUCAAUUAUAAGUAAAACGAAUCCGGUUCUAAUGUGGGAGACGUGUUUUGUGUGCUGUACCUGAACGCACCACGUGGCUGACAUGACAGAGUGAGAAAGAUGUGGUUGAAAUUUUACUUUCUCUUAGAAUGUUUUUUUGUUGGCGUCAACUGCGGAGGACAGUUGGUGUGUUGUGUUGCACAAGUUCUUGAAAUAAAUGAUUAAAAACCUGACAAAGCUGGCGAUUUCUUUGGCGAUGUUAACACAAUAAUAAUUGUCACCUUAACUUAUAAAGACUGGCAAACGGAGGUUUGUGCAGGACCCUCGAGAUCGUAGACAUUUCACAGCCGUAUUAUAAAGCCAGUUAACGGAUACGCGCACCUCGCUCAUAUUUUCCUUUCAUUUCCAUCUUCAUUUCAAUGGUAAGCGUCACCUUACUAAUGCUUCUUCGUAGCUCCCAGGUAAGGUACAUGUAUGUAAAGUGCGUAGCGGCUCACAGCUACCUUACCCCUAUGUAAUAUUUGCGACUUUUUCUCGUAGCAAUAGUAUGAUUAAUCUCGUAGUCCUUUUUUAAAAUUUAUUAAUUUGGCCAUGAUACACCGUCAUAUCAACGUGCAUCAUUUUUUUCCCACGAACUUCACUAUAGUAAUACAUGACAUUUUAUUUAUCUACUCUAAUGUGAGCACCAGCUGUUUGGUCUGAGGAUCCUGCUGCAUGAUGGUGGAACGAUAGACCCUCCUUUUUUUGUCAGAUCUCGAUUUCUCAUAUUCAUGCGUUCAAGCUUCAUCUACACCCAGUGAACGUGUGUUCUCCUCUGCAGGUGACAUUAGCUGUCCAGAACGCUCAUGCUUACUGCCUGAGAAGGCAGAUAUGAUCAUUUUCCUCAACAAAAAACAAUUUCUAAUUUUAUGCUGUCCCCGCUGCUAGUCUGGACUGGGUUUUAAAGGUUGUUUUUUUGUUUGUUUGUGUGAUAUUCUUCACCAGGUUAGCCCAUUAGUGGAAGUUCAAUAACAGGUAAAAAUGCCUGCAGUAUAAGACACUGUAAAGCAUAGGCAAAAGAAUAUGGGUAAAUGUUUUCUCCGUGAGCUUUUGAAAAAUAAACAUCUUAGAGUAAGUGCACUCUUGUGGAAAGAAAUAUCAUAUUCAAGUUCAAAGACUGAUAUUUAUGUACAAGUUAAGUGAGAAAUUCAUAGGUAAUUGAAAGUUCAUAUAAUUUAAAAAAAUAAUCGAGAAGCUACAAUUUUUUUACCCUGACUAUUAAAGGAAUAGGAUUUCGGGAUGGCAUGGCUCAGUGGUAGAGUAGUUGUCCUCCAAACCAGAGGUUAUGGGUUCGAUUCUGUGCCCUGAUGAACUCGCCUAAGUAUCCUUGAGCAAGAUACUGAACCCCACAUUGCUCCUGGUCCUGGUAGGUAGAUGACGAUGUAGUGUAAAGCGCUAUGAGCGCCUCAAGGUGGAAAAGCACUAUACAAGUAUAACACCAUUUACCAUUUGAGAAUCGUUUGGAACCGGAAUGUGGAAUCGGAACCGUUCAAAUUCAAACAAUGCCCAACCCUAAUCGUAUGCUGUAGUGGGGCAAGCCACUUUGCAGAAACAGGGGCUGCAUUUCCAGCCACUGCUAAUGCAGUCAUAACAUAUGUCUAAAAUGUUAAGGCGGUUGCUUAACUCUUUGAAAAGGCAGAGUGAAUGAUGUCAUCUGCAAUUAUAGACUGCGUAAGCUAGCCUGUGAUAGCGCACAUGCCCCCGGAGAGGUUGGGGAGGAGGGUGUCUAUUUAGAUGGCGAUGGCUGAUUUCAGGGAUUUUUUUUUUUCUUGUGUGACCUUUCGGGGCGCAAAGCGAAAAUAUGUAAGCGGAUUUUGGUUUCACAUCUCCGAGUUGGUUUCCUCAAAUUACCCCUUAACCUUCCGUGGGUGCGCCCUGCAGGCGAGCCUCACCACCCCCAGUUGGUGGUGGCUGCCGGUUGCGGCUGUAGCAAGCUGGCGACCAAUGGGGAUUGUGCUGCAGGCCUCAAUUCCGCUUUUGAUAUGCAUCUCACAACCAGAGAAGAACAUGCAUAUAGGGAGGAAGUGUAAGCGUGGAAGCGGGCUUAAAAAAAAAAAAAAAGGCAAAGGAAAGGAAAAGGUUGAGGGAUGGAGAGGCAGUGAGCGCAAAUCAAAAACAGACCUCGUGUUACACUGUUUGGUUUGUCAUGGGACUCUGACUGCACCAAAUCCCAAAACUGCCAUUCCCUGUGAUUUUUUUUUUCCCUCCUCACACCUCCUCGCUGAUAUACGCUUUUGUUUUGCCCCGCCGCUCCGUCCAGAGGCGAGCGCUGAGGAUUCCUGCACAGUGGGGUCCUUAUAACUGGGAGCCAUGUCUCUUGUUCUCACCUCUCCCCCCACCCACUUCCUUACCUUUUCAUUCUUUUCCCUCCUCCCAUUGAUAUUCCUUCUGCUUCCUUGUCUGAGUGUGCCGACCCGCUUUUAUGAUCCCGGUGCUCAUCAAAGACUGAAUCUGAGCGGGUCAAUUUGUUGCUCCUUUACCCGCCAACCUCAGUGGACUCUGUCUGCAACCUGUUACCCAGAAUGCACUGCUGCUUGGACUGUUCUGUACAGACAGUGAUCCUACUGCACUAUACCGUGACAAACCUACGCUGCUGGAUAUUGCAGAACUGGACAUUUUUACCGUAAUGACAGGCCAUUCUGGAAUUAAAACAAUCAUAUGUAAAGUCAGUUGAAUGAAAGUCACACCCCAUCCAAAGGAUGGUCUUUUACACAUUAUCUUCGGGUAGGAAAAUAAGAUGACAGCAUGCAUUUGUUUAAUCUUUGACUGUUGUCCUCAAUGUGCUUUGAGUUUUUUCCAAAACUGAUGAAAAGAUUUUGGAAUUCUGGCAGAAUUGGCAAAGUACACGCAUAUUUUCUGACUGUCACUUAUGGAAAAGUGGUGAGAUCACGCUUCCGACCAGGUCAACUUCGAAUACAUCUUUAUGAUGUGAACUUGGAAGGGUUUUUCUCUUUUUGAGGUGGGAGUUGUAAUUGUAAAUAUAUAUAUAUAUAUAUAUAUAUAUAUAUAUAUAUUUUUUUUUUUUUAAUAACGUAAUAAAUCCACACAUUUCCACUAGAGGGGGUCAUAUCUCAUUUUGACAUUGUAUGGGAAGCUUUGGCGGAAUGGCUCCCAAUUGUUGGUCCUUCUUUUACACGGUACAAUGGUUUGUCGUAAACGUGACUUGGUUUCUCUGGGAGAGUUUAGCAUUUUGUGCAGGACUGUUGGGGGAAUUGAACUGGUGGAUAUUGUUCACAAGUGCCUUUCAUGGUGCUUAUUAAAGAAAAAAAAAAGGAUAAACGCAGAAUAGAUGGUUGAAGUUGACUUGUGACUUCAGUUUAAAGGGGUGUAGGUUUGGUCUCAACAUUGGUAGGGAUUAUAUGACAGCAUCUAUGAAGUUUUGAUGUUAUUUUAACUUCACAGAUAAUUUUUUCAUGUCAGUUCAUGUUCAUGUCAGUGUCCCCCUGAAGUGGACCUAUUCUUAGAUAGCGCCCCGUUUUUUUUUUUUUUUUUUUAAUAAAGGGAUUUGCACUCUGAAGCCACCAAGUUGCAGCACCAUAAUGCACAUAAUGCAAUCAAUGAUCCAAAUGAGGGACAGCUACAAUACCGUUAAAAAGUUUGGGGUCUAAGCGACCCCAAACUUUAGAACCGUAGUGUAUCAUAUGGGAUUUUUCAAUAUGAACACUAUGGUUCCAAAGUUUGGGGUCGGUUAGACCCCAAACAUUUGAAUGGUAGUGUAGCAUGACUUCGUUGGUCCUUGUGGAGGCUCGCCUGACUGCAGUAGUUUUGCAGGUCAGCAAGUUCACACAGUUUAAUGUUAUGCUAACUCUUGAUGCAGGUUGGACUUUCAGUGGCAAAAUUAGUGGUGUUUCCCCCACCUUCACUACAUUUACGUCAUUUUACAUUACUUACUUACUCCUGCUGAACUUCUAAUAUCCCUCCUCCUCGCAGGGGGCGGACGAGGCGGCAUGUUGUCAACAUGAAUCUGUCGGGGCUGUGUAUGUGUUGUGUGUGGUGGUGGUGGGGGGGGGGGUCAAAUCAUCAGCCAAUCAAACGUACAUUUGAGGUGGGAAAAAAUGGACCAGCUCAUUCACCAAGUGAAAAGGGAUAAAUGUAAGUCUGAGCAUAAUGAAAAUAAUUCACUUAAUAAUGGUAGGGCCUAUUCUAUUCUUCCAACAUAUGGGAAGGCAAUCUGCAUUUCUUAUAUAACUGAAGUAAUUAUAUAAUGCAAAUAUUAAAAGUCGGUGUGGACAAUUUGAGCAUCCUGAAAAAUUGGUCGUGUUAUGUCCCGACUGUUCCUAUGCAGACCUACGCCCUUGGUUUAACACAACCAAUCUCAUCCUAUUUCGCUGUCCCAGAGCAUACAUUGUACCAGACACUGAGGCUGACAUCACUACGCUUCUAAUCAUCCGUUGUCUGACAGUACACACGGAUACUACAAACAAUAUUCCGCUUUUGCCGGAAACAACACAGGUGGAUCUACUGUUACGUCUCUUACGCACUCAUUUUCCUUGUGAAAGAAGCUGUUCUAGACUGCCCCGUUAUUAGCAUCAUGGCUCUGCACAGCAGUGCCUGAAUGAUAAAAAGCUACACCACAUGCUGAUACAGAGAAAAUCAAAUCCCAAUGAUAGAAGCGGUGGAAAUCAAAGAAAGAAAAAAAAAAUCAAAUAUAUAAAUCCAAAUGUAGGCCUUGGCUCCAGAUGUGAAUCCGUCUGACUAUUGAUCGCUGGUGCCGCGGAUCCCCAAGGCUGCGGUGUCUGACACACAAAGCACCCCGCUUAAGCCCAUGAAGCCGACUGUACGAGUAUUUAGAUGACGACAACAGCCUCCCAAUCCAGAGCAUCAUCCUCCUACUACUCCUCUUUCCUUAGCCUUUUCAAAAAGAUGCGGAAAAUUAAAACGCGUAAUUAGCACCAUGUCUCCAAAUGGAUCUCUCCUUUAUGUUCAUUACUGAAACCAGGGGGCAAUUACAAGUUCAAAGGGGGUUUUAGGGGCAUCCGCAGCCCGCAUAAUAACUCGCAAAUGAAGCGUCGCGCAUUUGUCACAGCGUCGCUGACGAUGUUGAUGUUGAGUCAUCGGCCCCAAAUGUGAGCCACCCCAAGGCGUCGGGUUAUCGGGCCCCAAUCCUCUUAUGUGCUUUUAUGCUUUGUUUUUACCCAACAACAACAAACAUUGGUGACAUCUUCACUAAACCCAUCCUCCUAUAUGUGUCCUCUGUGCAUCUGACCUCAUCCACACACAAAAUGCCCUCUAGCCUGCCAUCAUUGAGGUAAUUUGAUGCCAAAGUAACAUUUAUACCAUACUGGUAUAAAACUAACUAACCAUCUAACAUAGUGCAAUGACAAUAAAAGCUAUUCAGAUUCUAGUUUACAGCAGUAAAUGUUGUGUGGAAGUACUUUGAAGUUCACAAUUGAACAAUUUAUAACUUAUAGUUAAAGCAAAGUUUUUAGUUUAGGUAAAUGCAACUUGUAUUUGUUAAAAAUGCAGUGAUCGUUGUCCAAAUGAACCAAUGCUGUUCAGGUCCUCUGCAGUAACUAGAUUCCUCCUUAACCGCACAAGUAUGACGCGCAACAUUUGAAGUCACAGAACGAAUACAGUUAUAUUUGCUAUAGAUAUAAGUAGUGCUACAACAAUUAAUCGAUUAACUCGAGUAAUUUGAUUAGAAAAAAGCUACGUAUCAAAUUUUGCUGCUUCGAUGAUUCGUUUACUCAGAGUGGCAUUGUAACGGUUUGUUUUGAAAGUGUUUGCUUUUAGUUUUAUUCAUCACAAUGCCCUCUAGUGGCAGCAUUGAAUAUGACAUAACUCAUUAUAGCAUGCCUGAAUCUAGCUGCUCCCUGUUAAGACCACCAUAUGGUAAAUUUUUGUUUGAGCUAAUGUUUUUAUAUGCGUUUGUAAUUUAGUUUCUAGGUAUAUUUAGCAGUUUUUUGUAGAAAUAUGUGUUUGAGAAAUGUGUUGACAGCAUUGUAAAAAAAAAAAAAAAAGUUAGCAUUUUAUAGCAUUUAAGCUAGCGGAUUUUUGCCACUCAAGUUAGCCCGUUGUUCUUCUGUUGUACUUAGAGCCUAAUUUAAUUUUAAUUUAUUUUAAAUACUUUUAUUGCUCCUGUGAAAUGAAAGUGCAAUUCUGCAUAGUUUGAAGAAAGAAACAGUCGGGAAUUUUGUUUUGUAUUCAUAUUUAAUGCUCUUUUGACAGUGCAAUAUUAGCAAGCCUUUGUUUUACAUCGCCAAAAAUUUAAUCUGCAAUGCCUUAAAUGUUCCUAAUCCCAUUACUUGAUUAAUUUAACUAACUAGCAGUGUUGUUGAUCUUUCUUUUAAAAAGUAUAUAAUCACAGUUACGAAUUACUUCUCCCAAAAAUUAAUUGAGUUAGUAACUCAGUUACCUUAAUGUGAGAGUACUUUGUUACUUGGCAAAGUAACUGGUUUUACCUUUCAUGUUUUUUUUUUUUUCAUAUAAAAAAACGAAAAAACAUUGGGGACAGUCGCCUUAGCCCAAUUCUUUACCCUAAACUUAACAAGACACAGGGGUAUUGUGGGUAUUGCGAUAACUAAAUAGCAUCCUUUUCUAUGUUUGGAAGUCAUUUAAUGUUCUGAAUCAACCGUUAAAGUUGUUAAAAUUGCUCCCGUUUUUGCAUUAGCUCCCUUCUGUCUACUUUCAACAUGUGAAAGUUUUUAAACUGUCUCAUCAUCUAAAGCACAGGUCUCAAACCGGUCCUCAAAGGGCCGCAGGGGGUACUGGAUUUCAUUCCAACCAAACGAGACAAAUACCUUUUCACCAAUCUGGUUUCUUACAAGUGUAAUCAGUUGAUUGCAAUCAGGUGCUGCUUAUGUUAGUAGAAACCUCAUUGGUUGAACUGUUUGUGCUGGAUCUGUUGGAACAAAAACCAGGACCCACUGCGGCCCUUUGUGGAGUCGGUUUGAGACCGCUGAUCUAAAGAUUCAAGUCAAGAUUUUGCCGAUUUAGGAGUAUUUUAAACAAAAAGUUACUUAGGUUCGCUAGGAAGGUUCUCUACAACAGAGCCUCUCUGAGAAGUCUACUGCUUUAAGAUGGCGGCUGUUUACCAGCGCCGGCAAGAGUAUCAUUUCGCAUCUAGUUCAGAUACGUAUGAUAUCUAGCGUAGCAUCAUAGUUUGUAGGCUGUCGGCUACAGUCAGGUAUUAUUGGAGCCACCUAACCUAGCAUCGUGUUUGCAACGCGCCACAACUCCCUCUUUCCCACUCCCGCUCUUCUCUCUCCGUGUCUCUAACUUUGCUCGCGUCUCUCAACCAACGUAGUAAAGCAAAGUAACACACACCUUUACAUCCUCGGUAACGGUAACGGCGUUGCAAAGAUGAGAAAAGUAAUUAUUUAGAUUACUCACUACGGAAAAAAAUAACGCCGUUAGUAACGCCGUUAUACUCUAACGCCGUUAUUAACAACACUGCUAACUAGUUGAUAGAUUAAUUGAUUACUUAAAUAAUCAAUAGCUGCAGCCCUAGAUACAAGUUAAAUUUUCUACAAAAAUAAACUAUUUUAGUUACAACAAUACAUGUAUUUUCUACGACUACAAGCUGCUCCUGCACCAAAUUUACCUCCAUACCCCAUCAUCCUAUUGUGAAUCUGCUCAACACGUGACAGCGCGCAGCUCAUGUUUUGUCCCCGACGUUUUGUCUCGGUUACCUCUCGGGCCGGGUCACAGCAGUCUAAUCCUGUCUUCAGGUGACUGUUUAGCACACUGGGAGAAAGGCUAGCAAGAGGCCGGGAGGUGAGAUCCUGUUACAGGAGUUCGCCGAGCAAAGGGGGUCACCGCGACCUGGAACGAUCACACAUGGCUUUGCUCACGCAUACAUGCACAUGCAUGGACACACAACACAUUAGUACAGCCCGGCUUAUCUGGGUCCGGCAGCCUCAGGUUUCAUCUCGUUCUUUAUCUCAGGACUGUACAACAACUCUUUUAGGCCGUCUCUGUCCUCUCGACCGCUCUUUCGUUAAAAUCUGUCCGCCUCACGUUAAGAUUUUCUGAUAUGAUCGCCACGGCGAGUCGCUCCGGCGGCCAUGCGUCUCACUCUCAUUGUACACCCGACAAGGGGAACACAGCUGCGGAUCUACAAACUGAACCUUGGGUCUAUCAGGCCAGAAUCGGAAUGUCAGGCAUAUAUUACCGUUUAAGGCUGUACAUCUUGGUAAUAAAACCUGAGGCGUAGACUCAUAUGGUAGUCAAUAUUAUAUGUACCACUGCUGACCAUAUUAAAGCGACACAUCCUAUUACGACGAGCUCAUAAGUUUGACUUUUAUAACUUUGUAAAAUGCUUUUUGUCUUUAAAGGCCACUGUAUGGGAGGGGCAUAAGGGGCCAGGCUAAUGUUCCGUAGCAACUAGUGUGCACUUUUAACAGACACGUUUUAAAUUGUGAUAUACUGUAUAGGCUAAUAGUACACAUGUUUUAAAUCUUCUGUAAUGAUUUUGGUUCAUAAAAAGUAUCUUAGAAAAUGCAUAUUAUUUAAGUCAUGCAAGCAAAUGAUGUAAUAGUAAAAUGGAGAGAAGGUGCUUUUGACUGGGUUACAGUGAUCCCUCGAUUCUGUUGGUCAAUGGGGACCAGAACCCGCCGCGAUAAAAGUAGCCCCCCCGAGAAUUUUUUUUUUUUUUUUUUUGUAUGUUCAAUGUAUUUAUUUAGGUUUAGCAUUGGAAAAAUAUAUAAGACACUUUUUUUUUCACUUUUUUUUCCAAAGCAUAAUUUUAAAAAAACUUUUAUGUCCAUAUAUAUUUUAAUAAAUGGUUUUUAAGCACUUCAAAUGUCAUAUUUAUGAUAAGUUUUAAACAUGUUGCAGUCCCACCGAAUUGUUUUUAAUGAAGAAUAAAGUAGAAAAUGCUUGGCUAUAUUAAAUAUUUAAUUGCUCAAGCUUCUCACUUACACACAAUGAGUUGCCACACCAACUGUUUAACAAGUUAAACGAUGAUUGACGCAUGCGGGGCUUUGCAGUUUGCGUCCCUGGCAAAAUCAAACCCAAAUGUCUGUCAAUCAUCAUUAACUUUAAUAAGUAACCCCAGUGCACCGCCUGACCAACAAAUAGCAGGAAGACUGAGGGGGAGUGAGACUACGUGAUCAGCUCGGGACAGCUUAUCUGUAUUUAUUUAUUUAUUUAUUUAUUUUAAUUGAAAAAAAAAUCCGCGAUGGACUGUGGGCGCGAAGUUUAAAGUGCGAAGUAGCGAGGGAUCACUGUAUUUCAAUUAAAACAAUAUAAAUAAUUAAAGAUGUCUCAAUCGAUCGGCAUCCCAAUCGAUCGGGUCCGAUCACGUCAUUUUCAAAGUAUCGGAAUCGGCAAAAAAAUAUCGAUCAUGCCUUUUUUAAUAUAUAUAUAUAUAUAUAUAUUUUAAUUAAAUCGUUUUCUAAUUGUGUUUAACGUUACAGACAUAAUGUGUUACACUCAUCCAGAGUCUUUAGUUUAGGCUUAAGGUAGGGUUAUCAAAAAUAUCCCGAUAACGGCAGCAAUUAAUUUAUUAGAAAAUGUGUCACGUUAAAUAUAACGCAAUUAAUGUAUGGGCUGCACGACCCUCUCACUCAUUGUCGCGCUCAAUCUGUAAUGACGCCGAUUUACCUAUAUAGAGAGAUAAAAGGCAGCGCAAAAUAGAGUGAAUUUUGGCAGCCAUUUUUUAAUUGGCUAAAGACUUGUAAUCCCUCUCUCUAUAAUUAGAAAUAUCAUGUGAAGCAAUGUGGGGAAACAAGGUGGCAAUUGAUCUUCGUCUUAACACCAUAAGUUAUUUCCCAACGCAGAGAAGAUAUAUCAAUUGGUAGCACGACGCACAGUCAUGGUUCCACUUCCCAUCAUAUAUUUGGGAUGGCCACAGUAUCAUUUACUGAAAGCUCAACAAAUACACUAGAUGGCAAUAUUUAGUCACAAUAUACAAAGUCAGAAGUCUUUCUGUCCGUGGAUCCCUCUCACAGAAAGCAUGUUAAUAAUGUAAAUGCCAUCUUGAGGAUUUAUUGUCAUAAUAAACAAAUACAGUACUUAUGUACUGUAUGUUGAAUGUGUAUAUUCGUCCGAGUUUUAUUCAUUUUUUUCUUAGUGCAAUGCCAAAAUGUAUAUGAUCGGGAAAAAUUAUCGGGAAUGAUUGGAAUUGAAUCGGGAGCAAAAAAAAAAAAAAAAAAAGCAUUCGGAUCGGGAAAAAUCGGGAUCGGCAGAUACUCAAACUAAAACGAUCGGGAUCGGAUCGGGAGCAAAAAAACACGAUUGGAACAACCCUAGUAUUUAUUUAUUUAUUUAUUUAUUUUAUUGAAAAUCCACGAUGGACUGAAGGCACGAAGUUUGAAGCAGCGAGGGAUCACUGUAUUUCAAUUAAAACAAUAUAAAUAACACAUCUUCACCAUAUUUGAAGAAAUAAAAUUGUCCAAAACAUUUCAGUACUUGUCGUACCAGCUGUGCAUAAGUUGUACGUUAAACUCAACAGUUACUGGGAAUCAAAAUGGUACUUAAAAAUAAAAAUUAUAAUAAGAUGUUGAAAAUAAUACUAACAUUUGUUAUACUUGCUUGAACAGCCCUAAAAUGGGUCUAAAUAGUCGCCGAUGAUUUGGAAUGGAGGCCUAUCAUGUGUAACCCAGUCUGUGAGAAGUCAUUUCUCACCAGUGGGACGACAUCCAUCACGAUGGCCAAGCGCUGGCUGUUUCAUUAAGUAGCCCAUCCAGGCAGACAGAUGUGUUCACCAGACAGCCGUGUUUGCCUAUGCAAGAACGCGUAUUAACCCACGAUCCUUUGGGGGAGAUUAAUAGGCUGCGAGCCUCUUUCCAUUGAUUAUCUUCAUGCUAUCCACACCCUGCUUCCCCGUGCCAGAUAUUAAAAACUAAUGAAGCCUAUUGAAAGCUGGGGAACGGCGAGCCUCGUCACGGAUCAUUUUCGGUUUAUUUGGACUCAAACCGAGAGGGGUCUCUUAAAGGCGCAGUUUGAGUGGAUUUAGAAAACAAAUGUGGCUAGAGCGCAGACAGUGGGACUGUUUAAGAAGGGCUGCGAUCCUGAGAAAAGACAACCGACGCUUGGGGAGAAGCGAUGAGAUGGGGCAGAUGUUAGCAAUUCGGCAGCGGGGCAAAAGCAUUCCUAGUGUUAGAACCUCCUAAUUGCUAUAAUGGAGGUGGUAAGCGCUGACAGUAAUGGAGUCGUGGGGAUCCAUCCCCGGCAACCUGAAUUAGGGGCCACAUGCUAGAUGCACUUUGGGAUGGGCUUUGUUUAUUGUCUCGCCCAGAUUUUAUUCUGGCACUGAAUGCAGGACGCUGACUGACGCAGAUUUUGUCCGGGUAGGUUUGCGAGAUAGCUGAAGGCCUAGCCAGCAAAGAGUUAAAAGGAGCCAUGUGAUGGCCUCACCUCUGCACCGGGCCUGGUGAAAGGCGGCAGGGUGCUGUCGGGGAAAAUGACUUCCUGAGACAUUACCAUCAAUCACCAGACAGGUCAGGCCCCCCGAUCCUUCCAUCAGGGUGGAAAGUAAAGGGGCUGGGGGGUGGAUUAGACUUAAAGGGAAGACUGGGUUCAGGCUUGUCGAGGAAACAGCUAUCAACAGUCUCUUUCUUUCACCGUCUUGACUGUUUUAUGUCCUUGUGUUCAUCUCGCAUCUUUUCCGAUGUUUUUCGAGGUAUUCCGGAAUGGACGCGAGUCCUUCCCUCUGCUCGAUUGCAUCAUUCGUAUUCUCCAGGCAAUGGGCCCAGAAACCAAUCUUUAAAGCGAGAGGAGGAAAUAGAGAGGGGGUUAAGAUGGAGAGAUGGAGGACAGCUGUCUGACACCCACAGAUGGUCUUCCUUCGACCAUGUUUUUCUGUCCGUCUUGUAUUUUUUUCUAUAAACGAAGGAUGGGAUAAGGGGAGGUGCUUGGGUUACCUCAGUGAGCGGUUGUGUUACAUUCCAGAGAAGGGAAGGGGUAGAUGGCGUUGAGGGGGGUGGUUCAACGAGUUGUUGAAAAGAACACAGACGCUUGUCAACAGCCUCCCUAGCCGGGAAGCCAUCAUGCUAUCGCUUUAGGCCUGGAGGUCAAUGACCCCCUUGUUGCACUCAGGCUAGGUUCAUACUGCAGGUCUUAAUGGACAAUUCUGAUUUUUUGUCAUAUAUAUUUUUUGGGCGGGCCUGCUUAGACUGCCUUAGUCCAUUGAGCGUGUUUAAGUAUUACGCAUGCUCACUAAAGGCUGAGUUAUGCUUCUGCGCAGACCUACACUGUCAAGGCAGACCCGAAUUACGACCCUACGCCGUAGCCUGACGUGCAGCUCCUCAAAAUUCUGACUACGCGUCUUGUCAACGCGUGGUGACGUGACCCAAAUGGACUGUGAUUGGUCCACUCAGACUGUUGUUUCCGGCUCGGGGCGAAAUCAACCGCCAUUUACAAACAUUCUUGCGCUAACGACCACAUCCGCAACAUUCUUCUGCCUCGCCUGCGCCUCAACAUUUGUAUGAUCAACAUUUGUUGUUCAUUGCUGAUGAGCUGAAGAUCCACAUUCAAGCGUUCCAUCUCCGUUGGUGUUGUUGUGCAACAGGAAGAAAACUAGAGUAAGUCGACAAGAGUCCCCCAAAACGCCAAAACCCUCUAGUGGCUUGGCGGUGUGUGGGUCAGUUUGCCCUGACUUGGCCAUGUAAGCAAUAUUGAGAUAUUGUUUAUUUGCCGCACAGAAAGAAAACCGAGCAUUGUCAGGCUGAUACUUUUUAUUUUUUUCUGACUGUGGUUAAGCCCGCCUCCUGCAUUAAAGCCGAGUUCAAGCUAGACGCUAACGCUAAUGCACAGCUCCAUCGCUGCCAGGCUGCCUGCCGCUCUCGCUCCUUGCUGACAUAAUUGCUGCAUGAAUUCCGAUUUGGGAGAUGUCAAGUUCAAAUAUGAAUCCUUUGGUUGACAUUUAUAAAUUUACCAAAAAUAAGGAGAGAAGGCACUCAAUUUAGUUGAAAAGCUUGCAAGGAGAAGGAGGGACCUAUACAAUGGACUACAAAAUACAGCUUCCGCAAUCGUUCUAACUAGCCCCUCCUUCACCUCGCUUUUUAUUUGUGAUGGCCCUAGCAACAGAUGGAUGUCUUGCCCUAAACGGGAAAAAGGAGAAGCAAGCUGGCAAAACCUCUUGUCUUUGUUUGGCUAUGUGUGUGCAUGAAGGUAGAAUUAUAUACUUAUGUGUCAGCACAUUUCAGCAAAGCAAAGCGGCCUCUUCUGACCUUGACCAGGCAAGACAAAACAUUCCUUCUUUGUGAACAAUAAUAAUAAGCAAAAUCAUUUUCAUCAUCAUUGUGGGCAGCAAUAAGCAAAAGCAAUUCUUCAAUACGGGCAGCAAUUGAUAAAAGCAAAUACUGUAUAUAAUAACAACUUCAUAACUAUCUCAUCAAAUAAAUUUCAUGAAGCAGUAGUAUUUGGUAAGUAAAAAAAUGCAACAAUAUGAUUCCUCAAAUGUAUUGAAGUUGACCUGUGAAACCUAGGCCGGUUUAAACCGGUCACAAUGACAAGGCAGUAUUAUCAAGAGCUAAACAUGUCUAUAGUUAUCAAUUCCAAAAAUGUCUCUUACUGCAAUCAAUCAUGGUACAUCUUAUUAUAGCAAUCAAUACUUUAUUAUGUGCCUUCAUCGGUAAAAGCAAAUAUUUAAUAACCAUUUAAUAAUUAUCUUAUCAGGAGACAGUCCAGACCGCCGCGACAUUCUGGAAAAAUGUGGCCCAGAUCGGAUUCAAACCACAUACGAAAUUGACCCAGAUUGGAUUUGAAAUUGUCCACUUCUAUGCAACUUGUCCCAUUCAGAUCGUCAAGUUAUUGAAUCACUCGAGUCGGAAAAUUACGAAAAAAUCGGAUCGUCCAUUAAGACCUACGGUGUGAAGCCUCAGAUUGAGGGAGCAAAAAGUACGAGUAAUAUUUUUGGGGUUGGUUUGUUUGUAAAAGAUUACAUAAAUAUGAAUUUUGCAAUCCACACCACAUCGACAUCCCUGGUCGAGAUCUUUAAGCUUCCUGUGCAAGUCCUGUGCAAUUUUUUCGAUUUCUUUUUAAAAAUUACCCUUUCCCCCCCCAAAAAAGGCCUCACAGUUUCUUUUUAAAAGCUUGCCAAGAUGCCAAGCGCAAUCCUUUACUUUCUCCCGAUGGGAAAUGUGGAAUCAAGAAAAAGAGUGGGGGAAUAGCAGACAGGCAAAAAUGGUGCCCCCUCAGCGAAAUGGCCCAUUUGAUUUGAGCAGUGAAAGUUCAUCAGCUUUAUUAAUGCCAAGGUGUAUAUAUGAAGUAUGAAUUAAACGAUUUUUAUGGAGCGGAGUCGUCUUAUGAUCUAAUGUUUUAGUGAGUCGCCGUGAGCUUGAGAGCUCAGAGGAGGGAGGGAGUAGCUUAGGGGCAAGUGAAGUGUGCUGAGGUCCUCAGAGUCCAUCCAGCGUGGUUGGACGCUUGCCCGAUUGUAGCUGAUCGUGUAAGCUGGUAGCGCAUGGGGACAUUUGUCGCUCGCAGCCAUGGUAGUAAAAAAUAGCAGGCCUGGAAAGAAGGUUAGCCUCAUUGCUCUUAGCCACACAACAUUUAUGCAUUGAAGAACACACACGCACACGCAUGCAUGCGCCCCGCCAUCCUGUAAUAAGCGGUAAGCUGAGCUAGCUGAUGGUCAUCCUCCCGUGGGGCUGCUGGUUGGCUGCCAACAUCCUGCCUUGCUUUGUCAGUGGAUAAAGCCCCUAACAAACGACAGAGCUGUAAGCGAGGCAGGCGGGCCAGCCGGGUCAAAGGUGGCCCUCGACCCCCCCGGGCAGGAUUGAGCCUAAGACCGAGGCUGAGAAGAAGGACGCAGGAACGCGGCUCAGCUAUUAACCGACUUGGUUGGCCUUUCUUCUUCUCCUGUCGUACGUCGUCUCGCCAUUGCGAGCGAAAAAGCGAAAGCUCCUCAGGGCGUUUGUGAGCCGUGUUGAGCAAUAACAGGAGAUAACGUCUUGACAAGAUGAAAGGAGGACUGUGGAGAUGUGCGUGUUUGAGAGGGCCCCAAAAAAUCUGCAGCCACAACAGGUUGGGGCAGGGUGGCGCUUAUUAAAGGCUUGGCCGCCUUUGUUAUCAUGCAUGUUACUUGGAGUCUCGCAUGAAUGCACCUUUGCUUGCCAUCAACUCAACUGUGCUACAGCUGUUGCUCAAGUCGGACAAUUUUCUUGUUUCAGUUUACAGUACAAUGCACUUUUCCUUGUGCAUGACAGUACAGUGCAUGAGAUCGUUCACAUUUGAAAUUACUUCAACAUAAUACAAGUAGAAAUUGUUUUAUUUGUAUCUCAAAUAAGAAUAUACAAAAUAAACCAAGCUAAACACUUAAUGACAUGUAAUGUGCACAAUGAUCAUUCAAAUGCUGCCAAUGACUGCCCAAGACGUCCAAUCUAUUUUCACUGGGCGAUCAUUCAGUCUUGCUCUUUGGCUCAUGAUGUCUUUACAUACCUUAAUUUUCAGACUAUAAGCUGCUACUUUUUUCCCUCUGUUUGAAUCCUGGGUUUAUAGUCCAGUGCGGCUUAUUUGUUGAUUUAUUUGGGUUAAUAGGUAACACUUUAUUUGACAGCGGCAUCAUAAGACUGCCAUAAUAACAUCAUAAAUAUGACAUGACACUAUCAUGGGCAUUACUGAAUGCUUAUGACAGAUGUCAAUAUGUGUCAUGUGGCAUAUUAUUUCACUAACUCCAUUUAUGUCCAGCUCAAAUUUUUUACGGCCAUUCAAAAGUGAGAUAAUUUGCUGGAUGACACUAACCGACCUCUAUUAUAAGCAUUCAUUAAUGCUUAUGACAUUGUCAUGUAAUAAUUAUGACUGUCAUAAGACAGUAUUAUGGCACCACUAUCCAAGAAAUGUUACCAAAUACCAUAACUAGCAAUUAAUGAAACAACUGGAACAGUAACUGAAGAAAUAAUUAGCACAGAACAUGAUUGUUAUUAACAUCUGUAGUGCCGCAUUGCAUAAUAGGAGGAAUGUUGGAUGACAACAGUGUUGAAAGCAGGUGGCAGCAGAGGUUGACUGUCUCCCACAAGGGAGCAGUCAUGCCCAAAUGAAGCUUUUAGAAACAAUAAGGCUAUGCACCCAAUUGGUUCAAAGCUUAAUGGUGGUUCAUUUUGUCUCAUGACAGUCUUAUGAUGCCAUUAUCAAAUGAAGUGUUACCAGUUAAUAUCUUUUGGUAUAAAUAUCCCAUAAUACAAUGAGGACAACUGCGGCUUAUAGUCCAGUGCGGCUUAUCUAUGAGCGUUUUCGUGCCAAAUUUGGUGGGUGGUGGCUCAUAGUCAGGUGCGCCGUAUAGUCCAGAAAAUUACGGUAAUUCUGUGUCCUUUUACUGUGUCCUUUAUGCAGAGGUGGGUAGUUACUAGAGGCGUGCGAAAUUUCCGAUUCUGAGAUUCGCGAUUCGGCCAUGGAAGAUUCGAGAACGAUUCACAAAAAUCCAAAUUCCGAUUAUUGAAUUAUACCAGGUAAAGCAGACCUAAAAACAGUCAGCGCAGUCUCCGGGACGCAAUGAGAAACGGACCGAGAGUAAAUAUCAUGUUCAACUCAUUCCGCUAGAUAAAAAAAAAAAAACAACAAAA